rnacentral:rRNA from 1 species
UCCUACGGGAGGCAGCAGUGGGGAAUAUUGGACAAUGGGGGGAACCCUGAUCCAGCCAUGCCGCGUGUGUGAAGAAGGCCUUUUGGUUGUAAAGCACUUUAAGCGAGGAGGAGGCUACCUAGAUUAAUACUCUGAGAUAGUGGACGUUACUCGCAGAAUAAGCACCGGCUAACUCUGUGCCAGCAGCCGCGGUAAUACAGAGGGUGCAAGCGUUAAUCGGAUUUACUGGGCGUAAAGCGUGCGUAGGUGGCCAAUUAAGUCAAAUGUGAAAUCCCCGAGCUUAACUUGGGAAUUGCAUUCGAUACUGGUUGGCUAGAGUAUGGGAGAGGAUGGUGGAAUUCCAGGUGUAGCGGUGAAAUGCGUAGAGAUCUGGAGGAAUACCGAUGGCGAAGGCAGCCAUCUGGCCUAAUACUGACACUGAGGUACGAAAGCAUGGGGAGCAAACAGGAUUAGAUACCCUGGUAGUCC